AUAGGGGAAUCAAGUGCAAAUAGUCUGGCAUAGGAUAGAAGCACAAAAAGGAAAAACAAUAACAGAGCAGCUAUGGAGGUUAAUCCUGUACUAUGGAUUUGGCGGCUCAAGUGCUCUUUUGCGGAGGUGUCCAAUGCAAUUCUGCUGCUAAUUGUGUUCUUUGAUUUCUAUGUACCAGCAAAUAGCAGCCAAGCUUGCUAUUGCUUGCUUGCUAACACAGCUUCCGUAGUUGCAGCGACAAUUCAGCCUGGAGGUUUGUUUGCUAGAAUACACCUUAUUUGAUGUCGCAACUGCACCACUUCACUUCUGGCAAAUAAGCUUUUACUUAUUGUUUUUGCUAUCACAAUUAUUUAUGCAAAACGUUUCGAAUAACAAUUA